CACGUAGGCGGAUGUGUCAGUCAGGGGUGAAAUCCCGGAGCUCAACUUCGGAACUGCCUCUGAUACAGCACGUCUUGAGUCCGGAAGAGGUGGGUGGAAUUCCUAGUGUAGAGGUGAAAUUCGUAGAUAUUAGGAAGAACACCGGUGGCGAAGGCGGCCCACUGGUCCGGUACUGACGCUGAGGUGCGAAAGCGUGGGGAGCAAACA
rnacentral:rRNA from 1 species